ACGAACGCUGGCGGCGUGCUUAACACAUGCAAGUCGAACGGAAAGGCCCUGCUUGCAGGGUACUCGAGUGGCGAACGGGUGAGUAACACGUGGGUGAUCUGCCCCGCACUUCGGGAUAAGCCUGGGAAACUGGGUCUAAUACCGGAUAGGAGCCAUUUUUAGUGUGAUGGUUGGAAAGUUUUUUCGGUGUAGGAUGAGCUCGCGGCCUAUCAGCUUGUUGGUGGGGUAAUGGCCUACCAAGGCGGCGACGGGUAGCCGGCCUGAGAGGGUGGACGGCCACAUUGGGACUGAGAUACGGCCCAGACUCCUACGGGAGGCAGCAGUGGGGAAUAUUGCACAAUGGGCGCAAGCCUGAUGCAGCGACGCCGCGUGGGGGAUGACGGCCUUCGGGUUGUAAACUCCUUUCGCUAGGGACGAAGCUUUUUGUGACGGUACCUAGAUAAGAAGCACCGGCUAACUACGUG
rnacentral:rRNA from 1 species